UUGCCUUCAUUGUCCUUGUGAUCAGCACUGAAAGCAGUAUGGACAUCCUUGAGGUUGUUUGAUUCAUUUGGCUGUGAUAGCAUCACUGCUGGUUUGUACCCCUUCUUGAACCAUGGAUGCUCAACUAGCUUCUCAACGGUGAUCCUAAUGUUUGGAUUUGGAUCAAGCAGCCUGGACAGAAGCCUUCGGACAUCAGUAGUGAACCACUGUGGGAACUUGACAUCACCUUUGCUUAUCUUCCGGUACAUCUCCAUUAGAUUUGAGUCAUGGAAUGGGAGGUAGCCAGCAAGCAGAACAAAGAGUAUGACACCGCAAGACCAUAUGUCUGCUUUUGCUCCAUCAUAGCCCCUCUUAUUGAUUAUCUCUGGUGCAACAUAUGCAGGUGUGCCACACGUCGUGUGGAGCAGCCCGUCCUGCUUCUGACACUCCUUGAAGGCGCUCAGCCCAAAGUCCGACACUUUGAGGUUGCCAUUCUCG
rnacentral:lncRNA from 1 species